UUUUUGGCUGAACUAUUCCUCUUUAAAAAGGUCUACAUGGAAUAUUCUGCCUGAAAACCUGGAUUCAUGUGUAAAGUUAACUAAACUGGACAGAGGGAUUGGAGAUUGGAGUUUAAAUGAAAUGAAAAAAGAAUUAAAAACGACACCGAGAGCACAAUAAGCAGAGCUUUUCAGAGUUAAAUGAACCAUAGCUCAGAUCAUGAUGCGUUUAAAGCUCAGUACAUGUAAAAGAAACAACAUUAGCUGGAUUACGGCUUUUGGAAAACUAACUGAAACCAGUAGACCUGAGAGAACAACUCCUCUGAGCAGUCCCAUGGGUGGGUCUCUGGUCUGACUAUGUAAAGCCAUCCUGGGCAGCAGUUGGCACCACCAAGCGACGAGACUCUAACCAGAAGAAGGGCAUCAGGAGGGAUCAAAUACUGCUGAUGAAAAAACCCUGCCAGAGAUGUUACAUGUAAAUAUUAGUCACAUUGUGUAAGUACAUUUCUGUCCACACUCAUUACUAACUCUCAAUUUCAAUAUACAUGUCAAUCAUACCUAUUUUAUCCAUACCUUUUUGUGAAGCUUCUUUGUCCUUGCUGUGAGAGAUGUAUGCUUUCACUCAGGAGCCUAGUAAAACAUCAUAGUUGUGUUAGCUGAGACAUGUAAUGGCACGCAGCGUCAAUUAUAUUCAGACAGGGAAAGCUAAGGGUUAAGAGCAGGGUCAGCAAAACAACAGCUCCAGUGUCUUGCUCUUAGACAGACACAAAAGGUGUGUUUUAUAAAACUCAAUUCAAUUUAGUGUUAUUUGGAUAGAGCUUUCAGUAAUUGAAAUUGUAACAAAAAUAAAGCAGCUUUUCAGAAGUGACAGGAAAAAAGUCUUUAUGGUUACAGCAGCAGUCCUUGUGUACUCCAGUAUCCAGGAUCUCAGUUCCUGUUUGUUUCCACAGUCAGUAUUUGACUAGCUGGUUCUGUUUCCCAAAAUACUGUAUACUUGAAAAAGUAAAAUAAAAUUACAGAUACCACAUUCAGGAUAAAACCUUUACUGAAGAUUAAUGAGUGCUGUGUCCAAUUCAUUAAUUUUAGACAGG